rnacentral:rRNA from 1 species
GACGAACGCUGGCGGCGUGCUUAACACAUGCAAGUCGAACGAUGAAGCAAAGUUUUGAAGCUUCGGCAGAAAUGCACUUCGGAGUAGUGGCAGACGGGUUAGUAACGCGUGAGCAACCUACCUCUGACAAAGGGAUAGCCACGGGAAACCGGGAGUGAUACCAUAUGACAUUGCGACGAAGCAUUUCGAUGCAAUCAAAGCUACGUCGGUAAGAGAUGGGCUCGCGUCGCAUUAACCAGAUGGCGAGGUAACGUCGCAUCAUAGUAACGAUGGCUAACCGGGCAGUGAGGGUGGGCGGUGACUCUGGAGGUGAGACACAGUCGAGAAUCUUACGGGAAGGAGCAGUGGGGAAUAUUGCACAACGGAGGGAACGCUGAUGGAGCGACGCCGCGAGAGUGAUGAAGUAAUUCGUGUAGUAAUACGCUGUAAUAUGGGAAGAAAAUGACGGUACCAGAGGAGAAAGCACCGGCUAACUACGUG